GCGGGUUACGAAUUCGCCCCUUAGAGUUUGAUCAUGGCUCAGGAUGAACGCUGGCGGCAUGCCUAAGACAUGCAAGUCGUACGAAGUAGCCUAUUGAAAUUUUUGUGCUUGCACAGAAAUGGAUUUAGUUUCUACUUAGUGGCGGACGGGUGAGUAACACGUGGGUAAUCUGCCUAUGAGUUUGGAAUAACACAGGGAAACUUGUGCUAAUACCAAAUAUUAAAUAGAAAUGAUUUUUUUAUUUUGAAAGGUGCCUUUAAAGCAUCGCUUGUAGAUGAGCCUGCGUCGUAUUAGCUAGUUGGUGGGGUAAUGGCCUACCAAGGCGACGAUGCGUAGCCGAACUGAGAGGUUGAACGGCCACACUGGGACUGAGACACGGCCCAGACUCCUACGGGAGACAGCAGUUAGGAAUAUUCGUCAAUGGGGGAAACCCUGAACGAGCAAUGCCGCGUGAGUGAUGACGGUCCUUUGGAUUGUAAAACUCUGUUGCAUGGGAAGAACAGUUAGAUUAGGAAAUGAAUCUAGCCUGACGGUACCAUGCCAGAAAGCCCCGGCUAACUACGUGCCAGCAGCCGCGGUAAUACGUAGGGGGCGAGCGUUAUCCGGAUUUAUUGGGUGUAAAGGGUGUGUAGGCGGUUUAUUAAGUAUAAGAUUAAAGCCUGGGGCUUAACUCCAGUUCGUCUUAUAAACUGAUAGGCUUGAGUAUGGUAGAGGCAAAUGGAAUUUCUAGUGUAGCGGUAAAAUGCGUAGAUAUUAGAAGGAACAUCAGUGGCGAAGGCGAUUUGCUGGGCCAUUACUGACGCUGAGACACGAAAGCGUGGGGAGCGAAUAGGAUUGGAUACCCUA
rnacentral:rRNA from 1 species